UUGUGGUUAAAAAGCUCGUAGUUGGAUCUCAACAGCCUUGAAGCGGUUAACUUUGUAGUUUUACUGCUUUAUAGGCUGUGCUUUUGCUGGAGGUUUAGGGGUGCUCUUGAUCGAGUGUCUCUGGAUGCCAGCAGGUUUACUUUGAAAAAAUUAGAGUGCUCAAAGCAGGCUAAAAUGCCUGAAUAUUCGUGCAUGGAAUAAUAGAAUAGGAUGUCGAUCCUAUUUUGUUGGUUUUCGGGACUCGGCAUAAUGAUAAAUAGGGACAGUCGGGGGCAUUUGUAUUCAAACGACAGAGGUGAAAUUCUUGGACCGUUUGAAGACAAGCUACUGCGAAAGCAUUUGCCAAGAAUGUUUUCAUUAAUCAAGAACGAAAGUUAGAGGUUCGAAGGCGAUUAGAUACCGCCCUAGUUCUAACCAUAAACGAUGCCAGCUAGCGAUCUGCCUGCGUUUUUACUGUAGACUGGGCAGGAAGCUUCCGGGAAACCAAAGCAUUUGGGUUCCAGGGGAAGUAUGGUUGCAAAGCUGAAACUUAAAGGAAUUGACGGAAGGGCACCACCAGGAGUGGAGCCUGUGGCUUAAUUUGACUCAACACGGGAAAUCUCACCAGGCCCGGACACUGGAAGGAUUGACAGAU
rnacentral:rRNA from 1 species